AUCAGGCCCUCCCAACCGUAGAAUAAAAAAUGAGAAUCCUCCAUCCUUUACUAACAAAAGAGAGAGAUAUCUCCAUCCUUCUCCUUGUUAUGGGCUGUAGUAGGUGGUGGCCAUGCCUAUCUCUUUCACCUGUACACUUAAAUAAACUUGCACACUGUUACAAUUCUAAGUAUCGAAGAACUGAUGUGAUUGGUCAAAUUUACACAAAGAAAAAUAAUAGCUUUUAUGAAUGAAAGAGAAAUGUGUUUAUAGAACGUGUGUAACGGUGGAAUUCAUAGUCGUAGUAGGGGGCCCCUAAGGGGAUUAUUCAGCCGCUAUGUGUCGAAUUCAACCCCCACGCGUUUCAUAGACAAAAGAAACCCCUCAUUUGACAGGAGCUGGCGGCUGACUGCUGAAUUACCGAUAUUUGUCAGCCAAACCAUCCCCUGGCAUUUUUUUUUGUUGUUAUUCGUGAUUUAUUUAUUAGAAAGUGGACUUGGAAAGUGUUAAGACUGUGUAUAAACAGCGAGUUAUAUCAGUAUCCAAGAUAAAUAUUCGCAAUUGCGUAAAUCCAGUUUAAUACUAUGGCGUUAUGGAAUGUACGAAAGAUUCUCAUAUUAGGCAUAAUAUGCCUCUGUUUGAUGAAGAAUGAACACAGAAGACCCAAGAGAGGAAUACCAAUACCGCUAUUAUUAUGCAUUCUAGCAGCACUUCGAUUCUAUGUAACGGGAUGUUUCCAGACUGUAUGUGCAGUCCAUCAAGCAUUCUAUGAAAUAACAGAAAUGCCACAAAUCAACCUGUAUUGAUGGCAGACAUAGGUAUACAUAUAAACAACCCCGGAGGACCCUAUACACAGAUUUAAAGAAACCGGCUAUCAUGGCAGGGAAUAGCAGUGAUGAGCUCUGAGAAUACUGUUUUACCAAGAAUACUGAGAAUACUUUGGUCCUUGAAAAUCCGAGUUUUCAGAUCACAGUAAUUGGAAGACCCACAUACCUUGAAAAGUCAGCAGCAUUUAAUAUCGAGGUAGUAGGAGUGAGUGCAAUGUAUUGUAAGGUGGUCACUCACUCUGAAGUCCAUAACAAUAGAAAAUAUAUACAAAUCUUAAUUGAAUGAAUGAUGGAAAAUAAAAAUUUAUUGAUUCACAUCUUUAAUAAAGAUUAUUAUUAAAUGUUUA